rnacentral:rRNA from 1 species
UACGUAGGGGGCAAGCGUUGUCCGGAUUUACUGGGCGUAAAGGGCUCGUAGGCGGCCAACUAAGUCAGACGUGAAAUCCCUCGGCUUAACCGGGGAACUGCAUCUGAUACUGGAUGGCUUGAGUUCGGGAGAGGGAUGUGGAAUUCCAGGUGUAGCGGUGAAAUGCGUAGAUAUCUGGAGGAACACCGGUGGCGAAGGCGGCAUCCUGGACCGACACUGACGCUGAGGAGCGAAAGCCAGGGGAGCAAACGGG